GAUGAACGCUGGCGGCGUGCCUAAUACAUGCAAGUCGAGCGAGCGGCGGACGGGUGAGUAAUGUCUGGGAAACUGCCUGAUGGAGGGGGAUAACUACUGGAAACGGUAGCUAAUACCGCAUACCAUCAGAUGUGCCCAGAUGGGAUUAGCUAGUAGGUGGGGUAAUGGCUCACCUAGGCGACGAUCCCUAGCUGGUCUGAGAGGAGGACCAGCGACACUGGAACUGAGACACGGGCCAGACUCCUACGUGAGGAAGCAGUGGGGAACAUUGCACAAGGGGCGCAAGCCUGAUGCAGCCAUGCCGCGUGUGUGAAGAAGGCCUUCGGGUUGUAAAGCACUGUCAGCGAGGAGGCGUUACUCGCAGAAGAAGCACCGGCUAACUCCGUGCCAGCAGCCGCGGUAAUUC
rnacentral:rRNA from 1 species